rnacentral:rRNA from 1 species
UACGGAGGGUGCAAGCGUUAUCCGGAUUCACUGGGUUUAAAGGGUGCGUAGGUGGGUUGGUAAGUCAGUGGUGAAAUCUCCAAGCUUAACUUGGAAACUGCCGUUGAUACUAUCAAUCUUGAAUCUCGCGGAGGUAAGCGGAAUAUGUCAUGUAGCGGUGAAAUGCUUAGAUAUGACAUAGAACACCGAUAGCGAAGGCAGCUUGCUACACGAGUAUUGACACUGAGGCACGAAAGCGUGGGGAUCAAACAGG